rnacentral:rRNA from 1 species
UACGUAGGGCGCAAGCGUUGUCCGGAAUUAUUGGGCGUAAAGAGCUCGUAGGCGGUCUGUCGCGUCGGCUGUGAAAACCCGGGGCUCAACCCCGGGCCUGCAGUCGAUACGGGCAGACUAGAGUGUGGUAGGGGAGACUGGAAUUCCUGGUGUAGCGGUGGAAUGCGCAGAUAUCAGGAGGAACACCGGUGGCGAAGGCGGGUCUCUGGGCCAUAACUGACGCUGAGGAGCGAAAGCGUGGGGAGCAAACAGG